rnacentral:rRNA from 2 species
CCUACGGGGGGCUGCAGUGGGGAAUAUUGCGCAAUGGAGAAGAACUCUGACGCAGCAAUACCGCGUGAGCGAAGAAGGUCUUCGGAUCGUAAAGCUCUGUUAUCAGGGAAGAAGAAAAUGACGGUACCUGAUGAGCAAGUCCCGGCUAACUACGUGCCAGCAGCCGCGGUAAUACGUAGGGGACAAGCGUUGUCCGGAAUCACUGGGCGUAAAGGGCGCGCAGGCGGUGAUUUAAGCAGGAUGUGAAAGGCUACGGCUCAACCGUAGACAUGCACCCUGAACUGGGUCACUUGAGUAUUGGAGAGGCAGGCAGAAUUCCUGGUGUAGCGGUGAAAUGCGUAGAUAUCAGGAGGAAUACCGGAGGCGAAGGCGGCCUGCUGGACAAAUACUGACGCUGAGGCGCGAAAGCGUGGGGAGCAAACAGGAUUAGAUACCCCGGUAGUC